rnacentral:rRNA from 1 species
GACGAACGCUGGCGGCGUGCUUAAAAACAUGCAAGUCGAACGGACUUCUCAUGAAGCUUGCGAUUGAGAAGUUAGUGGCGGACAGGUGAGUAACGCGUGGGCAACCUGCCCCUGAGCCCGGGAUAACAGUUCGAAAGGACUGCUAAGACCGGAUAUACUUGCGGGGAAGCAUUUCACUGCAAGGAAAGGGAACGCUCAGGGAUGGGCCCGCGUCCCAUUAGCUAGUUGGUGAGGUAACGGCCCACCAAGGCGACGAUGGGUAGCCGGCCUGAGAGGGUGAACGGCCACACUGGGACUGAGACACGGCCCAGACUCCUACGGGAGGCAGCAGUUGGGAAUCUUCGGCAAUGGGCGCAAGCCUGACCGAGCAACGCCGCGUGAGGGAAGAAGGCCUUCGGGUUGUAAACCUCUGUCAGUGGGGGAAGAAGGAAGUGACGGUACCCCAAGAGGAAGCCCCUGCUAACUACGUG